UACGGAGGGUGCAAGCGUUAUCCGGAUUUACUGGGUUUAAAGGGUGCGUAGGUGGGUUUGUAAGUCAGCGGUGAAAUCUCUAGGCUUAACCUGGAAAUUGCCAUUGGUACUAUAGAUCUUGAAUUAUCUGGAGGUGAGCGGAAUAUGUCAUGUAGCGGUGAAAUGCUUAGAUAUGACAUAGAACACCAAUUGCGAAGGCAGCUCACUACGGAUAUAUUGACACUGAGGCACGAAAGCGUGGGGAUCAAACAGG
rnacentral:rRNA from 1 species